AGAUUAAGUUAUUAAGGGCGCACGGUGAAUGCCUUGGCACUAGAAGCCGAUGAAGGACGUUACUAACGACGAUAUGCUUUGGGGAGCUGUAAGUAAGCUAUGAUCCAGAGAUUUCCGAAUGGGGGAACCCAACACGAGUUAUGUCGUGUUAUCGACAUGUGAAUUCAUAACAUGUCAGAAGGUAGACCCGGAGAACUGAAACAUCUUAGUACCCGGAGGAAGAGAAAGAAAAUUCGAUUCCCUGAGUAGCGGCGAGCGAAACGGGAAGAGCCCAAACCAAUGAGCUUGCUCAUUGGGGUUGUAGGACACUCUGUACGGAGUUACAAAUGUAUUUGUUAGACGAAGUAGUUGGAAAGCUACAUCAAAGAAGGUAAUAAUCCUGUAGUCGAAAAUGAAUACACUCUUGAGUGGAUCCUGAGUACGACGGAGCACGUGAAAUUCCGUCGGAAUCUAGGAGGACCAUCUCCUAAGGCUAAAUACUCUCUAGUGACCGAUAGUGAACCAGUACCGUGAGGGAAAGGUGAAAAGUACCCCGGAAGGGGAGUGAAAAAGAACUUGAAACCGUGUGCUUACAAGUAGUCAGAGCCCGUUAAUGGGUGAUGGCGUGCCUUUUGUAGAAUGAACCGGCGAGUUACGAUCUGAUGCAAGGUUAAGCAGUGAAUGUGGAGCCGUAGCGAAAGCGAGUCUGAAUAGGGCGAAUGAGUAUUUGGUCGUAGACCCGAAACCAGGUGAUCUACCCAUGGUCAGGUUGAAGUUCAGGUAACACUGAAUGGAGGACCGAACCGACUUACGUUGAAAAGUGAGCGGAUGAACUGUGGGUAGCGGAGAAAUUCCAAUCGAACUUGGAGAUAGCUGGUUCUCUCCGAAAUAGCUUUAGGGCUAGCCUCAAGUGAUGAUUAUUGGAGGUAGAGCACUGUUUGGACGAGGGGCCCCUCUCGGGUUACCGAAUUCAGACAAACUCCGAAUGCCAAUCAAUUUAACUUGGGAGUCAGAACGUGGGCGAUAAGGUUCAUGUUCGAAAGGGAAACAGCCCAGACCACCAGCUAAGGUCCCAAAAUAUAUGUUAAGUGGAAAAGGAUGUGGCGUUGCCCAGACAACUAGGAUGUUGGCUUAGAAGCAGCCAUCAUUUAAAGAGUGCGUAAUAGCUCACUAGUCGAGUGACGCUGCGCCGAAAAUGUACCGGGGCUAAACAUAUUACCGAAGCUGUGGAUUGUCCUUCGGACAAUGGUAGGAGAGCGUUCUAAGGGCGUUGAAGCAUGAUCGCAAGGACAUGUGGAGCGCUUAGAAGUGAGAAUGCCGGUGUGAGUAGCGAAAGACGGGUGAGAAUCCCGUCCACCGAUUGACUAAGGUUUCCAGAGGAAGGCUCGUCCGCUCUGGGUUAGUCGGGUCCUAAGCUGAGGCCGAUAGGCGUAGGCGAUGGAUAACAGGUUGAUAUUCCUGUACCACCCACUUUCGUUUUAAGCGAUGGGAGGACGCAGUAGGAUAGGCGAAGCGUGCGAUUGGAUGUACGUUCAAGCAGUAAGGCUGAGUGUUAGGCAAAUCCGGCACUCGUCAGGCUGAGCUGUGAUGAGGAGGGGGAAUUGUUCCCCUGAGUCGCUGAUUUCACACUGCCGAGAAAAGUCUCUAGCUAGAAAAGGGGUGCCCGUACCGCAAACCGACACAGGUAGUCAAGAUGAGAAUUCUAAGGUGAGCGAGCGAACUCUCGUUAAGGAACUCGGCAAAAUGACCCCGUAACUUCGGGAGAAGGGGUGCUCUCUGGGGUGUACGCUCCGGAGAGCCGCAGUGAAUAGGCCCAAGCGACUGUUUAUCAAAAACACAGGUCUCUGCUAAACCGUAAGGUGAUGUAUAGGGGCUGACGCCUGCCCGGUGCUGGAAGGUUAAG
rnacentral:rRNA from 1 species